GUAGAGUAUAUGAUACCACAGGGAGACUCCGUUAUUAGCUAUGUAGAGUAUAUGAUAUCACAGGGAGACUCCGUUAUUAGCUAGGUAGAGUAUAUGAUACCACAGGGAGACUCCAUUAUUAGCUAUGUAGAGUAUAUCACCACAUGGGGAGACUCUAUUAUUAGCUAUGUAGAGUACAUGAUACCACAGGGAGACUCCGUUAUUAGCUAUGUAAAGUAAAUGAUACCACAGGGAGACUCCAUUAUUAGCUAUGUAGAGUAUAUGAUACCACCGGAGACUCCAUUAUUAGCUAUGUAAAGUAAAUUAUAUCACCGGAGACUCCAUUAUUAGCUAUGUAAAGUAAAUGAUACAACGGGAAGACUCCAUUAUUAGCUAUGUUAAGUAAAUGAUACCACGGGGAGACUCCAUUAUUAGCUAUGUAGAGUAUAUGAUACCACGGGGAAACUCCAUUAUUAGCUAUGUAAAGUAAAUGACACCACAGGGAGACUCCAUUAUUAGCUAUGUAAAGUAAAUGAUACCACGGGGAGACUCCAUUAGUUGUUAUGUAAAGUAAAUGAUACCACGGGGAGACUCCAUUAUUAGCUAUGUAAAGUAAAUGAUACCACGGGGAGACUCCAUUAUUAGCUAUGUAAAGUAAAUAAUACCACGGGGAGACUCCAUUAUUAGCUAUGUAAAGUAAAUGAUACCACGGGGAGACUCCAUUAGUUGUUAUGUAAAGUAAAUGAUACCACGGGGAGACUCCAUUAUUAGCUAUGUAAAGCAAAUGAUACCACAUGGGUAGACUCCAUUAUUAGCUAUGUAAAGUAAAUGAUACCACAGGGAGACUCCAUUAUUAGCUAUGUACUGUAAAUGAUACCAUGGGGAGACUCCAUUAUUAGCUAUGUAAAGUAAAUGAUACCACAGGGAGACUCCAUUAUUAUCUAUGUACUGUAAAUUAUACCGCAGGGAGACUCCAUUAUUAGCUAUGUAAAGUAAAUGACACCACGGGGAGACUCCAUUAUUAGCUAUGUAACGUAAAUGAUACCACGGGGAGACUCCAUUAGUAGCUAUGUAAAGUAUAUCACCACAUGGGGAGACUCCAUUAUUAGCUAUGUAAAGUAUAUCACCACAUGGGGAGACUCCAUUAUUAGCUAUGUAAAGUAAAUGACACCACAGGGAGACUCCAUUAUUAGCUAUGUAAAGUAAAUGACACCACAGGGAGACUCCAUUAUUAGCUAUGUAAAGUAAAUGAUACCACAGGGAGACUCCAUUAUUAGCUAUGUAAAGUAAAUGAUACCACGGGGAGACUCCAUUAUUAGCUAUGUAAAGUAAAUGAUACCACAGGGAGACUCCAUUAGUUGUUAUGUAAAGUAAAUGACACCACGGGGAGACUCCAUUAGUUGUUAUGUAAAGUAAAUGACACCACGGGGAGACUCCAUUAGUUGCUAUGUAAAGUAAAUGACACCACGGGGAGACUCCAUUAGUUGCUAUGCAAAGUAAAUGACACCACAGGGAGACUCCAUUAGUUGUUAUGUAAAGUAAAUGAUACCACGGGGAGACUCCAUUAUUAGCUAUGUAAAGUAAAUGACACCACGGGGAGACUCCAUUAGUUGUUAUGUAAAGUAAAUGACACCACGGGGAGACUCCAUUAUUAGCUAUGUAACGUAAAUGAUACCACAGGGAGACUCCAUUAUUAGCUAUGUAAAGUAUAUCACCACAUGGGGAGACUCCAUUAUUAGCUAUGUAAAGUAAAUGACACCACAGGGAGACUCCAUUAUUAGCUAUGUAAAGUAAAUGACACCACAGGGAGACUCCAUUAUUAGCUAUGUAAAGUAAAUGACACCAC
ensembl:lncRNA